CUUGCUUCGGCAACAUAAUAUACUAAAAUGAGGGCAGGACAGAGACGAUCCGCGUGCCCCUGUGCAAGGAUGGCUCUCAAGUUCGUGAAACAGUCCAUAUUGUU
rnacentral:snRNA from 1 species